rnacentral:rRNA from 1 species
CCUACGGGUGGCUGCAGUGAGGAAUAUUGGUCAAUGGGCGGAAGCCUGAACCAGCCAAGUAGCGUGCAGGAUGACGGCCCUACGGGUUGUAAACUGCUUUUAUACGGGAAUAACGCGCCUUACGUGUAGGGCUUUGCAUGUACCGUAUGAAUAAGGACCGGCUAAUUCCGUGCCAGCAGCCGCGGUUAUACGGAAGGUCCGGGCGUUAUCCGGAUUUAUUGGGUUUAAAGGGAGCGUAGGCCGCAUGUCAAGCGUGAUGUGAAAUGUCCGGGCUCAACCCGGGCCUUGCAGCGAGAACUGGCGUGAUUGAGUGCGCGGAAAGCAGGCGGAAUU